UACGUAGGGGGCAAGCGUUGUCCGGAAUCAUUGGGCGUAAAGCGCGUGUAGGCGGCCCGAUAAGUCCGCUGUGAAAGUCCAGGGCUCAACCCUGGAAUGCCGGUGGAUACUGUCGGGCUCGAGUCCGGAAGAGGCGAGUGGAAUUCCUGGUGUAGCGGUGAAAUGCGCAGAUAUCAGGAGGAACACCGAUGGCGAAGGCAGCUCGCUGGGACGGUACUGACGCUGAGACGCGAAAGCGUGGGGAGCGAACAGG
rnacentral:rRNA from 1 species